AGUCCUGAAACAAGCCUGUCCCCAAGGAACUGCAACUCUUACCACCACGGGAUUUCUCAAGAAGAUGAAUAUGACCUUCUGACUGAGUUUGAUGAGAUUUACAAGUACUAACCCGGGCCUUCAUCUGAAACUGCUAAUGUGCAGAAAAGAGCAUGCCUGUGCAUUUGGGAGACAGAUUAUGGGAAAAGAACCACAUUCUGUACUGAAGAUGUGGAAGAGCUGUAGAUUUCAUAGUCAGAUAAUUAGGUUUUCUUUGUUGUUUAUGUCUUUUUGAUAUGUAUUGUUUUUUCUUCUACUCUAUUUUUGCUAUUUUGACUCUUACUGAAUUUCUGUUUUAAUGGAACUUAAAAUCCUAAUGCCAAACUGUAAUUCCUGACUGAUAAUUAUCAGGUUUGAAUCCAUAGUUUCCUAUGUGAAGCUAUGAAUUUUUUUCUAUAUGCAACAUUGCCUACAUUAUCAUUCAUCUACCAUUCUGUUGCCCAGUAUUCAAUGGCUUCUUAGCAAUUCUUCCUAAUUUACCCUCAUUCUUACCAUCUCAAGUAAUUUUUUAUUAGCAGUAAACUUUCUCACCUUUUGCCAGUUAUUUGUGAGCACAGUGAAUACCAGUAUAGAUCCCUGGGGAAAUUAGCUGAUGAUCUCUCUCCAUUGUGGAAGCUUACCUUUUUGGGUUUUUUUUGUCUUUUAAUGAGUUGCUUUUCCUUGAAAGGACUUUUCUUUCAUUCUGUGGCCAUGCAACUUCUGCAUACAUAUGAUUAAAGGAGAAAAAUCAAAGUAUAUCAUAACCCGAAGCAAAAAUUCUGCAGAUCACAAAACUCCAGGCAAAGCCAAUCUGUGCUCAAAACGUAAAUGCAGUCACAUAGGAGUCAUGAUUGAUGUCUUCCCAAAAGAAUCAUUUAAAUCCAGACAGCUAAGACAUGUCACCAGUGCUCCAGACAGGGCAUUCACUGUGCCAGGGAAAGAAUUGCCGGACAUCUGCAAAGAGGCAUAAAUACCUAGAUGUAAAGAAGGCUUGUUUAUUUCACUAAACCAUUUCUCUGCUUCCAUUCUUUAAUGAGCAUCGUAAACUCUUGCAUCCCUGCUGAAAAUCAAAAAUAAUGCUGCCUCCUCUUCUUUCUUUGGGGGUGUUUCCCCGUUACACUCUGUCUCUUCCAGAAGCCAGCUGCCUCUCCCCUAGCUACAACUUCUCCACCUGCUCCAGCAGCUGCUUUCCUUUCAUGCUGAUCGGGAAGGUUUCUUCAUCUGGGCAUUUUGGUAAUCCCGUUUGCCCCACCCUUUUGCUUUGAUGCAACUCUUCGUGAGUGACACUGCAAAAUGCAGUGGGGCUGUGGGGAGCAGCCUGGGGUUAAGGUCUGCCAGGAGUUGAGGAAGGAGGAGCUUUGUGCACUGAUCUUGCUGAAGGAGAAUGAUUCUGAGGUGUAAACUUUUAGAGUAGUUAGGUCUAAACCAUAUAUUGCUUGGAGUUUGUUAGUUACCUGAGGAAAAUAUGGAGAUAUGAUCCAGACAGUUUUUUUUUCAAGCUUUAUCAGGUGGUGAAAUGAGGAUAUUCUCUCUUUCUAAACUUUCUUUCCCUGUUGAACUGCUUCCCUUCUUACACUGGCUAAUGUUGGGCAGAGCCAUGCUGUGUUCUUGCAGGUCUCUCAUUCUGGAGAGACGUGGGUAGAGGAGACUGUGGCUGUGCAUCCUGCAUCCGGAUUUUGGCCAGCUUAGUGAGAUAAACAUGUGGUUGAGCUGAGAGCAAUGGUCAGGCUGUGUAACUCUUUCCUCAUGUAACUGUCAUCCUAGUUGUGGACACCAAGCGCUAUCAACUUUGACAAAGUCCUGUGGCUUUGCAAACAAGAGCACCAUCUUCUAAUAGAAUAUGUUGGGCAACUUUAAUUGUAGGUAUCAAAAUAGCUCCCGAGAGUCACAGUAAUGGUCAUAUAGCAAAAGCAGUUUAGUUACACCAAGUUCUUCAUGUCAGGACCACUGUUCUAUUAAGCACAUCUGCAUUCAUACUUCAGGUUUAGGAGCCCUGGAAGGCCAGCUAUGAAUUUCUUUUAUGAAAGCCUUUGUGUUCUCUGAGUCAGCGCAUAUCCUCACUAUGUGUUGAGCUAUGUUGUGUUGGUAUCUCUGCUUAGAGGAUCUGUUUGUUAAUUAGUAUCUGAACUAUUCAGCGAACAGUAAAUGAGUCAGUAUUACUGGAUGGGGUUGGAUUUCUAUCAGAGCAAUUUGAUGGUUUAUAAAAGGCACAAUAGUGACGUGGAUGUUCAGGAAGUACCUACAAUAUCUUCUUGUUGUUUGUUUUUCCCCCUUCCCCCCCCCCAAACAAUGUGGUGGUACCUGAACAUAUAGAGUCAUUAAGAUUGGAAAAGACCUUUGAAGAUCAUCUAGUCUGACCAAUGGCUAUUGCUGAGAACCAAAAGGAAACCUUCUAUAGGAUCUUUGCCUGGUGCUUGGUUGAGUUUACUGAUUACUGCCAUGUGAAAUAUCAGUCCUCAUGUCAUCCCCUGCUCACCUGUGUCACACUGGAAGGACAGAUUCCUAUUUGGUCAGUCCCCACCCUGACCCUCCUCUCAGGCUAGAAACUUAACUAUUGCACAGUGGUUCUUAAAAUCAGUUUGUCUCAAGAUGGAGCUGCAAAUUAUAGCUGUAUCAGUCCACUGCCUCUUUCAGUUGUUUAUUUUUUUGAGGGCAGCACUAAAGAUCCCCCAGAUGUUGACUCUCUUCAGAGGAUGUAUUGAACAUGCCAGUAUGAGGGAGUGAUCUCUAACUGUGUGCAAGUGCUUUUACUGACUUGAGGCAUAUUUCUGCAGGUGCCACGUUUGGGGAAAAAAAAAGGUCUUGAAUGAGACCCUAGAACAUGCUAAAUAUUGCAGAGAAGCAUACCAAUGAAGUAUUUACAGAUUAAAAAAAUCCAGAUUCUGAAUUUACAAAACAUGAUUUCCUCCAUCUGCGCUCUGUGCUCAUCAUUUUGUUACAAACCACUUCAUUCCUUCAUCACUAAUAGCUGUCUUUGAAUGCUGAAUUGGCUCAUUAGGCUCUUUUAUCCCAUGAAUGAAAUUCUUCCUCUGAGUCAAAUGGGCACUCCUUUAUUUUUCCUAUUGAUUCUUAGUUAAAUAUAUCAGACUGCUUCUAAGCAAUCAAUAAAGCAGCAGGAAAGACUUCUGA